rnacentral:rRNA from 1 species
UGGGGAAUUUUGGACAAUGGGCGAAAGCCUGAUCCAGCCAUGCCGCGUGAGUGAAGAAGGCCUUCGGGUUGUAAAGCUCUUUUAGUCGGAAAGAAAGAGUUGCAAUGAAUAAUUGUGAUUUAUGACGGUACCGACAGAAAAAGCACCGGCUAACUACGUGCCAGCAGCCGCGGUAAUACGUAGGGUGCGAGCGUUAAUCGGAAUUACUGGGCGUAAAGGGUGCGCAGGCGGUCUUGCAAGUCAGAUGUGAAAGCCCCGGGCUUAACCUGGGAAUUGCGUUUGAAACUACAAGGCUAGAGUGCAGCAGAGGGGAGUGGAAUUCCAUGUGUAGCAGUGAAAUGCGUAGAGAUGUGGAAGAACACCUAUGGCGAAGGCAGCUCCCUGGGUUGACACUGACGCUCAUGCACGAAAGCGUGGGGAGCAAACA